AGAGUUUGAUCAUGGCUCAGAACGAACGCUGGCGGCAGGCCUAACACAUGCAAGUCGAGCGCACCUUCGGGUGAGCGGCGGACGGGUUAGUAACGCGUGGGAAUAUACCCUUUUCUACGGAAUAGCCUCGGGAAACUGAGAGUAAUACCGUAUACGCCCUUCGGGGGAAAGAUUUAUCGGAGAAGGAUUAGCCCGCGUUGGAUUAGGUAGUUGGUGGGGUAAUGGCCUACCAAGCCUACGAUCCAUAGCUGGUUUGAGAGGAUGAUCAGCAACACUGGGACUGAGACACGGCCCAGACUCCUACGGGAGGCAGCAGUGGGGAAUCUUAGACAAUGGGGGAAACCCUGAUCUAGCCAUGCCGCGUGGACGAUGAAGGCCCUAGGGUUGUAAAGUCCUUUCAGCUGGGAAGAUAAUGACGGUACCAGCAGAAGAAGCCCCGGCUAACUCCGUGCCAGCAGCCGCGGUAAUACGGAGGGGGCUAGCGUUGUUCGGAAUUACUGGGCGUAAAGCGCACGUAGGCGGAUUAGAAAGUCAGAGGUGAAAUCCCAGGGCUCAACCCUGGAACUGCCUUUGAAACUCCUAGUCUUGAGUUCGAGAGAGGUGAGUGGAAUUCCGAGUGUAGUGGUGAAAUUCGUAGAUAUUCGGAGGAACACCAGUGGCGAAGGC
rnacentral:rRNA from 1 species